CGACCGCUGACUCAUAGCAGUGCCAACUCUGAUGUAACGACGUUUCUUCUGAGUGGUACAAGCAAAUAAUCAAAACUUUUAACAACGGAUCUCUUGGUUCUGGCAUCGAUGAAGAACGCAGCGAAAUGCGAUAAGUAAUGUGAAUUGCAGAAUUCAGUGAAUCAUCGAAUCUUUGAACGCACAUUGCGCCCGCCAGCAUUCUGGCGGGCAUGCCUGUUCGAGCGUCAUUUCAACCCUCAAGCUCUGCUUGGUGUUGGGGCCCUACAGCUGAUGUAGGCCCUCAAAGGUAGUGGCGGACCCUCCCGGAGCCUCCUUUGCGUAGUAACUUUACGUCUCGCACUGGGAUCCGGAGGGACUCUUGCCGUAAAACCCCCAAUUCUCCAAAGGUUGACCUCGGAUCAGGUAGGAAUACCCGCUGAACUUAAGCAUAUCAAUAAGCCGGAGGAAA
rnacentral:rRNA from 1 species